rnacentral:rRNA from 1 species
UACGGAGGAUGCAAGCGUUAUCCGGAAUUAUUGGGCGUAAAGCGUCCGCAGGUGGCUGUGUAAGUCUGCUGUCAAAGAGCAAAGCUCAACUUUGUAAAGGCAGUGGAAACUACACGGCUAGAGUGCGUUCGGGGCAGAGGGAAUUCCUGGUGUAGCGGUGAAAUGCGCAGAUAUCAGGAAGAACACCCGUGGCGAAGGCGGCUCUCUGGAACGCAACUGACGCUGAGAGACGAAAGCUAGGGGAGCGAAUGGG